rnacentral:rRNA from 1 species
GACGAACGCUGGCGGCGUGCCUAAUACAUGCAAGUAGAACGCACAGUUUAUACCGUAGCUUGCUACACCAUAGACUGUGAGUUGCGAACGGGUGAGUAACGCGUAGGUAACCUGCCUGGUAGCGGGGGAUAACUAUUGGAAACGAUAGCUAAUACCGCAUAAUAUUGAUUAUUGCAUGAUAAUUAAUUGAAAGGUGCAAUUGCACCACUACCAGAUGGACCUGCGUUGUAUUAGCUAGUAGGUGAGGUAACGGCUCACCUAGGCGACGAUACAUAGCCGACCUGAGGGGGUGAUCGGCCACACUGGGACUGAGACACGGCCCAGACUCCUACGGGAGGCAGCAGUAGGGAAUCUUCGGCAAUGGACGAAAGUCUGACCGAGCAACGCCGCGUGAGUGAAGAAGGGUUUCGGAUCGUAAAGCUCUGUUGUAAGAGAAGAACGGGUGUGAGAGUGGAAAGUUCACACUGUGACGGUAUCUUACCAGAAAGGGACGGCUAACUACGUG